rnacentral:piRNA from 1 species
UGCCAAUGUGGCCUAUUACACAGUGCUGA